GGCUCCUCUGUCCACGGGAUUUCCCAGGCAAGAAUACUGGAGUGGAUUGCUAUUUCCUUCUCAUCCCGUUGUGAUUCUUGUAUGCAAAAUUGUUUCUUUUUUUAAAAGUUUCUAUACUGAACCCAAGAGGACUGUAAAUUUUGUACUUUGUCUCUAUUUUAAGCUCACAACCCGGUAUGUACUUUGUCUAUAAACUGAGUAGCUAAUAGCUUCAGUCCUUGCUAGGGUUGCUUUUUUUAAUUACAGCAGAUCCUUGUCAUCUGUUUGUGUUGAAAUGAUGAUACAACAUCGCAACACGAAAUGUCAUCAUGUCACAUUGUUAUAGCACAACAACAAAAUUACAGCUCCCCAACAAUAACACGGUGUCAAAAGUGUCCUCUUGCCAUGAGUCAGUGUUUCAGAGAUUAUAAAAGUUAUUUUUAGCACCGCAAGUGCCUCGGGAGCUUGGGUUCUGAAUCCUACUAAAAUCCCUAGUGAUGUGAAAAAAAAAAAAAAAUUUUUUUUUUAGGGUGAGGAGGGCUUCUUGUUCUUAAACUCCCCAGUCCCUGAAGCGUAUGGAGGCCCACGCUAUUGUCCCGGCCACAAUUAGAUCCAGCUUCCACUGUGCACUGCAAGCCACUCGGGGAUGGGUCACAACUCUGCGCCAGCAUCCCGUGUGGAGGAGGAGGAGGAGACUAUAAUUAUCCUCCAAGUCUGGGGCAGGCCCUCGGAUGACAUCUCCUCGGUUACCCUGUGCUCUAAUAGCGCAGCUCUGGUUCCUGGUCCCAGACGCGCUUCAGCCAGCUCGAAGGGCAGACAGGAAGCGAGCGCAGCCGAUGUGCCUGGCGCCUCGCGGGCCUUCGGGGCUCCGCCAGCCCCUCGCAACCCGCUGUACCUGCAAGGAAACCCAGGCCCCCAGGCUAGCGCCCCUGGGCGCGCCGGGCGUUGUCAUAACAACCGGGCGCCAGCAGCUGAGGCCGCCGGGGAGGAAGUGACGAGCGCGUUUUGAAAACGAAGCAGUAGCUGCAAAAUCAGCGGCGAGCCUGUUGAAGAGAACCCACACGUGUAUUUCACAGCACCUUGGGUGGAUAUCGACGUGAAAAUGAAGCCAGACCGAGGUACAUAAUUUAAGUAGGAUUUUUUUUUCUUGUGCCCCAUUUUAGAAAGGUUAACCUAAUUCUGCGGCAGGAUCAACUGAAUUACAUAUGAUUAUUUCUGUUACAGAUUUCCAGCGGGUAAGGUAGAGAAGGGCACAGGGAAGAGUUAGGAACUAGAUGGGAGAAAACAUUCUUCAAAACUGUCUUCAGAAUGUUAGUUUCAAGAGAUACUAAAAGUGAAAUUUUCAAUAAAAGCAUUUUUAUCUGGUGUCACAAAAUUUGAUAUCAUUUGAGAGUUACACAUUUUUAGGUAAAGUCAAUCUAACUUAAGUUUUUAAAAAGUUUACAGGUUUCCUCAGUUUGAGAAUUUGAACUUGAUAAACAGAAAAUUUAAGAUCAUUUGAGUUAACAGAUAUUAUUUGUCAUUGCUGAUUUUUGUGCUUUAAGCAAACUCUCNNNNNNNNNNCAAAUCCCUGGAGUACUUUGCUGUAUAUCAGUAUGUGGACAGGGCUACUGAAAUCCCUAUAAUAAGUACUGCCAUUUUCUUUCUAAACCUGUAUUUUCAGGACUUCUGGGAAUAAUGUGUACACUGUGUUUUUCAAGCACUUCAAAGGAACUGAAAAACCCAUUUAUCAGUCUGCUUUUGAUUCAUAGCAAGAACCAACUUUAGAAGAUUUUAAUAUAGUGGUAGUUAGGAGUUUCAGUAAUAUGGGAAUUUGGUUUUAAGGA
ensembl:lncRNA